GANUAACUUACGGGAAACCGGAGCUAAUACCGGAUAAUAUAUUGAACCGCAUGGUUCAAUAGUGAAAGACGGUUUUGCUGUCACUUAUAGAUGGAUCCGCGCUGCAUUAGCUAGUUGGUAAGGUAACGGCUUACCAAGGCAACGAUGCGUAGCCGACCUGAGAGGGGUGAUCGGCCACACUGGAACUGAGACACGGGUCCAGACUCCUACGGGAGGCAGCAGUA
rnacentral:rRNA from 1 species